rnacentral:rRNA from 1 species
AGUGAACGCUGGCGGUAGGCCUAACACAUGCAAGUCGAACGGCAGCACAGUAAGAGCUUGCUCUUACGGGUGGCGAGUGGCGGACGGGUGAGGGAUACAUCGGAAUCUACUUUUUCGUGGGGGAUAACGUAGGGAAACUUACGCUAAUACCGCAUACGACCUACGGGUGAAAGCAGGGGAUCUUCGGACCUUGCGCGAGUGAAUGAGCCGAUGUCGGAUUAGCUAGUUGGCGGGGUAAAGGCCCACCAAGGCGACGAUCCGUAGCUGGUCUGAGAGGAUGAUCAGCCACACUGGAACUGAGACACGGUCCAGACUCCUACGGGAGGCAGCAGUGGGGAAUAUUGGACAAUGGGCGCAAGCCUGAUCCAGCCAUACCGCGUGGGUGAAGAAGGCCUUCGGGUUGUAAAGCCCUUUUGUUGGGAAAGAAAAGCAGCAGGUUAAUACCCCGCUGUUCUGACGGUACCCAAAGAAUAAGCACCGGCUAACUUCGUG